rnacentral:rRNA from 1 species
CCUACGGGUGGCAGCAGUGAGGAAUAUUGGUCAAUGGGCGAGAGCCUGAACCAGCCAAGUCGUGUGAAGGAUGAAGGAUCUAUGGUUUGUAAACUUCUUUUAUAUGGGAAUAAAGUGAGGAACGUGUUCCUUUUUGUAUGUACCAUAUGAAUAAGCAUCGGCUAACUCCGUGCCAGCAGCCGCGGUAAUACGGAGGAUGCGAGCGUUAUCCGGAUUUAUUGGGUUUAAAGGGUGCGCAGGCGGAAUGUCAAGUCAGCGGUAAAAUUUCGGGGCUCAACCCCGUCGUGCCGUUGAAACUGGCGUUCUUGAGUGAGCGAGAAGUAUGCGGAAUGCGUGGUGUAGCGGCGAAAUGCAUAGAUAUCACGCAGAACUCCGAUUGCGAAGGCAGCAUACCGGCGCUCAACUGACGCUCAUGCACGAAAGCGUGGGUAUCGAACAGGAUUAGAUACCCCUGUAGUC